rnacentral:rRNA from 1 species
AGUGAACGCUGGCGGUAGGCCCAACACAUGCAAGUCGAACGGCAGCACAGAGGAGCUUGCUCCUUGGGUGGCGAGUGGCGGACGGGUGAGGAAUACAUCGGAAUCUACUCUGUCGUGGGGGAUAACGUAGGGAAACUUACGCUAUACCGCAUACGACCUACGGGUGAAAGCAGGGGACCUUCGGGCCUUGCGCGAUUGAAUGAGCCGAUGUCGGAUUAGCUAGUUGGCGGGGUAAAGGCCCACCAAGGCGACGAUCCGUAGCUGGUCUGAGAGGAUGAUCAGCCACACUGGAACUGAGACACGGUCCAGACUCCUACGGGGGGCAGCAGUGGGGAAUAUUGGACAAUGGGCGCAAGCCUGAUCCAGCCAUACCGCGUGGGUGAAGAAGGCCUUCGGGUUGUAAAGCCCUUUUGUUGGGAAAGAAAUCCAGCUGGCUAAUACCCGGUUGGGAUGACGGUACCCAAAGAAUAAGCACCGGCUAACUUCGUGCCAGCCGCCGCCGUAA